rnacentral:rRNA from 1 species
UGCCAGCCGCCGCGGUAAGACAGAGGGUGCAACCGUUGUUCGGAAUUAUUGGGCGUAAAGCGUAUGUAGGUGGUUGGACAAGUCAGACGUGUAAACCCACGGCUCAACCGUGGAAUUGCGUUUGAAACUAUCUAACUUGAGUGCAGAAGAGGAAAGCGGAAUUUCCAGUGUAGCGGUGAAAUGCGUUGAUAUUGGGAAGAACACCUGUGGCGAAGGCGGCUUUCUGGUCUGCUACUGACACUGAGAUACGAAAGCCAGGGGAGCGAACGGGAUUAGAUA